AAUUAACUACAAACUGACUACGAUUAACUACAAACUGACUACAAUUAACUACAAAACUGAAUACAAUUAACUACAAACUAACUACAAUUAACUACAAACUGAAUACAAGUAACUACAAUUAACUACAAAACUGACCACAAGCAACUACAAACUGACUAUAAUUAACUACAACCUUACUACAAGUAUUUUAUUUCUAUAAUUUUAUCCAAUGUAUCAAUCGAAAAUUGUUAUGCAAUUGUAGACUGGAGAAUUCCGUAGCUUGCAUUAUCAUCAACCAAAAUGG
rnacentral:lncRNA from 1 species